rnacentral:sRNA from 1 species
AACCUGCGCAGAAAGUUCAUUCUGAGUGCGUCCUGGCCAGUCUCAGCCCCCAAGCGGGUGGAACGCACCAAGGGUCUCAUCCACGAGGAAGGGCUUUAACGCUCAGGGUCAGGGACCUCUGAGAGCUCUUGGGGACUUGCGCGCCCUUGGAUGCUCUUGCGUUCAACAGGGCUAGGGGACUACAGGCUGGGGCGAGGAAUGCAGGCGCCUAGAGCCUUGGAGCUCCUGAAACGUUCCUGCCGCCUCCGGAAAGCAAGGGCAGUUUACCGAAGUGACUGAGGCCAAGUAUUUGCAGCACCGUCAGGGACCAGUAACCGAUUUUCAGGCCUUUUGAAAGGAAGAGGAAGAGAGAGAAAGAGAAGGAUUUCUAAUAGUAGAUAUUCACUGUCAUGGACUCUUUAGGAAACAGCAACAAAGACGAGAUUAAGAACACCAAAUUGUGUGACUAUCCACACAAAAAAAGCAUCUUCAUAAGAACCAAAAAUCAGCUCCAGACAGCUCAGCACGGAGUGAGAGACUCUACUCACCUGGGAGGAAGUAAGGAGAAAGAACAA